CCUAACACAUGCAAGUCGAACGGGAAGCGGUGCAUAUUGCUUCGGUGAUAAUGUGCCGUGGAGAGUGGCGAACGGGUGCGUAACACGUAGGUAACCUGCCCUGAAAGGGGGGAUAACCACGGGAAACUGUGGCUAAUACCGUAUAAUCUCGCCGUGGCGGUGGUUACGGUGAGGAAAGCUGAGGCGAUUUGGGAGGGGCCUGCGGUCGAUUAGCUGGUUGGUGGGGUAAAGGCCCACCAAGGCGAUGAUCGAUAGCUGUUCUGAGAGGAAGACCAGCCACACGGGAACUGAGACACGGUUCCGACUCCUACGGGGGGCAGCAGUGAGGAAUAUUGCGCAAUGGGGGGAACCCUGACGCAGCAACGCCGCGUGGAGGACGAAGGUUUUCGGAUUGUAAACUCCUUAACUGGGGGAAGAGAGAGGACGGUACCCCAGGACGAAGACACGGCUAACUAGGUGCCAGCAGCCGCGGUAAUACCUAGGUGUCGAGCGUUAUCCGGAAUUACUGGGCGUAAAGGGUGCGCAGGCGGUGUUACAAGUCCGGCGUGAAAGCUUCUGGCUUAACUGGGAGAGGACGUCGGAAA
rnacentral:rRNA from 1 species